UUGAAAAUUCUUUAGAAGCUAUAAGGAAAGAGAGAGUUGCUUUCCCCUAAUAAUUUCUCCGUUAACACACUCCACUAAAUAUUGAGGUUGAAGACGAGCAUUUGCUGAUGCUUGAUGGGUAUUUCAUAGAGAUUGUCAAGAAACUUCAAUUUAGAAACUUCAAUUGAAAGUUAUAUUUGUUUUCUUGGUUUAGCACUAUAUUUAGCUCCCUCCAAGAAUUUAUGUCUAUACGUCCAUCGAUCAGA
rnacentral:misc_RNA from 1 species